rnacentral:rRNA from 1 species
AUACGGAGGAUCCGAGCGUUAUCCGGAUUUAUUGGGUUUAAAGGGCGCGCAGGCGGCCAUUUAAGUCAGCGGGUAAAUCGUGGGGCUCAACCACAUUGUGCCGUUGAUACUGGGUGGCUUGAUUGCGGUCGAGGUUGGCGGAAUUCGUUGUGUAGCGGUGAAAUGCAUAGAUAUGACGAAGAACACCGAUUGCGUACGCAUCUUACCAGCGCGCAAAUUACGCUCAUGCACGAAAGUGCGGGGAUCGAACAGGAUUAGAUACCCUGGUAGUCCGCACAGUAAACGAUGAAUACUUGUUUUCGGCGAUAUAAUGUCGGAGGCAAAGCGAAAGCGAUAAGUAUUCCACCUGGGGAGUACGCCGGCAACGGUGAAACUCAAAUGAAUUGACGGGG